GCAUCAUCAAAGCUUGCUUUGAUGGAUGGCGACCGGCGCACGGGUGAGUAACACGUAUCCAACCUGCCGACAACACUGGGAUAGCCUUUCGAAAGAAAGAUUAAUACCGGAUGGCAUAGUUUUCCCGCAUGGGAUAAUUAUUAAAGAAUUUCGGUUGUCGAUGGGGAUGCGUUCCAUUAGGCAGUUGGCGGGGUAACGGCCCACCAAACCUACGAUGGAUAGGGGUUCUGAGAGGAAGGUCCCCCACAUUGGAACUGAGACACGGUCCAAACUCCUACGGGAGGCAGCAGUGAGGAAUAUUGGUCAAUGGACGAGAGUCUGAACCAGCCAAGUAGCGUGAAGGAUGACUGCCCUAUGGGUUGUAAACUUCUUUUAUACGGGAAUAAAGUGAGCCACGUGUGGCUUUUUGUAUGUACCGUAUGAAUAAGGAUCGGCUAACUCCGUGCCAGCAGCCGCGGUAAUACGGAGGAUCCGAGCGUUAUCCGGAUUUAUUGGGUUUAAAGGGAGCGUAGGCGGGUUGUUAAGUCAGUUGUGAAAGUUUGCGGCUCAACCGUAAAAUUGCAGUUGAUACUGGCGACCUUGAGUGCAACAGAGGUAGGCGGAAUUCGUGGUGUAGCGGUGAAAUGCUUAGAUAUCACGAAGAACUCCGAUUGCGAAGGCAGCUUACUGGAUUGUA
rnacentral:rRNA from 1 species